rnacentral:rRNA from 1 species
AAAGGAUCUGCCGGCCUUGCUAAUACAUGCAAGUCGAGCGAACUGAAUUAGAAGCUUGCUUCUAUGACGUUAGCGGCGGACGGGUGAGUAACACGUGGGCAACCUGCCUGUAAGACUGGGAUAACUUCGGGAAACCGAAGCUAAUACCGGAUAGGAUCUUCUCCUUCAUGGGAGAUGAUUGAAAGAUGGUUUCGGCUAUCACUUACAGAUGGGCCCGCGGUGCAUUAGCUAGUUGGUGAGGUAACGGCUCACCAAGGCAACGAUGCAUAGCCGACCUGAGAGGGUGAUCGGCCACACUGGGACUGAGACACGGCCCAAACUCCUACGGGAGGCAGCAGUAGGGAAUCUUCCGCAAUGGACAAAA